CAGCUCAGAAAGCAGAAAUCCUCAGUGGGCAAGUCGGAAGACACAGGGACACUCUGCCACUGUGAACUCUGACCAUUCUCUCUCUGCUCACCUGAACAGCCGUAUCCCACGUCAUCCCUCUUACAAUUGGAUCUGGAGCCAAGCCUCGUCUUGUAUCAUCAGACACUUUCUUAAGGGGUAUGCCUGAUCUCUGAGUAGUAGUGGACAAAUUUCUCUUCCCACUCAGCUAUUGCUGGACUGCCAGGAACAAUGACCCCCUUCUGCAUAGUGUGAUGUAUAGCAGAGUUCUGCAAAAUGUGAGAAUCAUUAUUUUUCCCUCUCCAACCAAUUUCCACAUGAAUAAAGCAUUCUGUGUGAUCCAUGGUCCUCUGUAGAAGGAUGAGGUGGCCUUUGGGAGGAUGAUCCGUUCAACUCUUGGGGGACCGACUGCUUCAGCUCAAUCUGGCAACAUAGUGUUCAGAUGACUCAUGCCCCUGGAUCAGGCUGAAGCUAUGAUGCAGCCAUCUAUGGUAGCCCAAACCCAGCCACAAAAGGAGCAGGGAGGGCGGGGGGAAUGCACCUUUACAGGAUUGUGGCAGCAGCGCAGAUGGGGACCAGGUGUGUGUGGUCUUCACAGUCCCACAGCGAUCGGGGUGGGAGCUUCUUCUGGCCACUCCUUUUGCCCUAUCUGCUUGAGGCCGUAGUCUCCUACACUACCUAGACUUUCUGUUGGCAACAAUGGCUGGAACCAUUGGGCAUUGGUUGUUGGUCAUCACAGCAAGAAUGGACACUCUGAAUCAACUGUAGACUUAGGAGUCAGAGCUAUGGGGAUUGGAGCAGAUCCAUACCAGAGAUCUGGGAAUCCUUCUCACCAAUAGGAUUCAGGCCAUAAUUUCCUUUAGUCUAAACCAGUGGAUCUUACUUGCAUCUUCUAGAUAUUUUUGGAUUCAUCUCCCAGAAGUGGCAGCCAACAUGCCCAAUGCUAAAAGAUCAUGGGAGCCAAAGACUGACAAAGUCUGGGCUAAACAGAAAAGCUGGAGUCCACCUCAUCUCCUCAAAGUACCGGCUCAGGAAGGACAUAGAUGCUUUCAGUCUAAUUCUACUGGUAUAGUAUGGCCUUGAGAGCCAGUGUGGCUUGAACACUGCGAACCCCUGCUCAACCAUGGAAACCCACUGGGUGACCUAAGGAAGUCACAUUCUUUCAGCCUCAGAGGAAGGAAAAAGCAAACCGUCUCCAAACAAAGCCUGCCAAGUACAUCCCAUGACAAGUUCACCUUAGGGCCAUCGUAAGUCAACAAAUGACUUGAAGGCACACAAUAACAACAACAACAGGAUCACUUUUAUAUGAUUCUAGUUCUAUGAGUUUCUGGAUCUUCAUAAAACUUUGAGCACCAGUCAACAUUGGCUUACUUGUAUCAGAGUUGUAGAUUCUGGUAACGAUAAUUGCAGCACCCACAACUAUGACAGCACUACACAAAAGUGGAGCAGUUAUCCCAGAUGCAGAGACAAUUACAACCUUAGCGGCACCUGCAAAGAGAAAACCGUAAUCAGCACCACAAGUGGGGGUCGUACUUUACCCUCAAAUUAUUAUUAUUAUUAUUAUUAUUAUUAUUAUUAAUAUCCCACCCUUUU